UACGUAGGGUGCAAGCGUUGUCCGGAAUUAUUGGGCGUAAAGAGCUCGUAGGCGGUUUGUCGCGUCUGCUGUGAAAACUCAGGGCUUAACCCUGAGCCUGCAGUGGGUACGGGCAGACUAGAGUGUGGUAGGGGAGAUCGGAAUUCCUGGUGUAGCGGUGGAAUGCGCAGAUAUCAGGAGGAACCCCAGAGGCGAAGGCGGCCCCCUGGCUCGUACCUGACGCUCAGCCACGAAAGCAUGGGGAGCGAACGGG
rnacentral:rRNA from 1 species